rnacentral:tRNA from 1 species
GCGCCUUUAGCUCAGUUGGUAGAGCACUGGACUUUUAAUCCAUUGGUCGUGGGUUCGAGCCCCACAGGGCGCACCA